rnacentral:rRNA from 1 species
UACGUAGGGGGGCGAGCGUUUGUCCGGAAUUAUUGGGCGUAAAGAGCUCGUAGGCGGUCUGUCGCGUCUGCUGUGAAAACUCGGGGCUUAACCCCGGGCCUGCAGUGGGUACGGGCAGACUAGAGUGUGGUAGGGGAGACUGGAAUUCCUGGUGUAGCGGUGAAAUGCGCAGAUAUCAGGAGGAACACCGAUGGCGAAGGCAGGUCUCUGGGCCACUACUGACGCUGAGAAGCGAAAGCAUGGGGAGCGAACAGG